rnacentral:rRNA from 1 species
UGGGGAAUAUUGCGCAAUGGGGGGAACCCUGACGCAGCCAUGCCGCGUGAAUGAAGAAGGCCUUAGGGUUGUAAAGUUCUUCCGGUAUUGAGGAAGGUUGAUGUGUUAAUAGCACAUCAAAUUGACGUUAAAUACAGAAGAAGCACCGGCUAACUCCGUGCCAGCAGCCGCGGUAAUACGGAGGGUGCGAGCGUUAAUCGGAAUAACUGGGCGUAAAGGGCACGCAGGCGGUUAUUUAAGUGAGGUGUGAAAGCCCCGGGCUUAACCUGGGAAUUGCAUUUCAGACUGGGUAACUAGAGUACUUUAGGGAGGGGUAGAAUUCCACGUGUAGCGGUGAAAUGCGUAGAGAUGUGGAGGAAUACCGAAGGCGAAGGCAGCCCCUUGGGAAUGUACUGACGCUCAUGUGCGAAAGCGUGGGGAGCAAACAGGAUUAGAUACCCUGGUAGUCCACGCUGUAAACGCUGUCGAUUUGGGGGUUGGGGUUUAACUCUGGCGCCCGUAGCUAACGUGAUAAAUCGACCGCCUGGGGAGUACGGCCGCAAGGUUA